rnacentral:lncRNA from 1 species
CUGUGGAUGUAGUUGUUCCAGCGUGAGCCAGUCCGGCGUUGUAACGCCCGCAGAAAUCACUAACUAAAUUCACCCGUUAAAAACCGUCUUUAAAAUCUUUUACCGCUGAGCUCCCGGAAAUCGAAAAUCUCCCCGGCGAUUUCGCCGUCCCGGUACCAUGCCGACCCCCACCUAUCUUUUUAUCUGUGCCCGUGAAUCUCGCCGCGUGCCGGUGUUAGACGCCGAGCGCGUGCUCCGACCGCGUGCCGCGAGUGCCGCCGGUCUCUCCCUUUUCUUUCUCUUUUUCCUCCCCUUUUUCCUUUUCUUUUUCCUUCUUCUUUCUUCCUCCCUCUCCUUUCUUCUUCCUCCCUCCUUCUCUCUCUUCCUCCUUCUUCUUCCUGGCACCCGGACCGGCCCCAGCUCCUUAACUCACCCCGGCGCCACCCCCUACUGGCGCCA